CGGCGAGUGAAGCGGCAACAGCUCAAAUUUGAAAGCUGGCCCCCCCGGGGGUCCGCGUUGUAAUUUGUAGAGGAUGAUUCGGCGAGGGCUCCCGCCUAAGUCCCCUGGAACGGGGCGUCAUAGAGGGUGAGAAUCCCGUAUGCGGUGGGCUGCCUUAGCCAUGUGAAUCUCCUUCGACGAGUCGAGUUGUUUGGGAAUGCAGCUCUAAAUGGGAGGUAAAUUUCUUCUAAAGCUAAAUACCGGCCAGAGACCGAUAGCGCACAAGUAGAGUGAUCGAAAGAUGAAAAGCACUUUGGAAAGAGAGUUAAAAAGUACGUGAAAUUGUUGAAAGGGAAGCGCUUGCAGCCAGACUUGUCCGCAGUUGCUCAGCCGGUCUCCUGACCGGCGCACUCUUCUGCGGCCAGGCCAGCAUCAGUUCGGGCGGUCGGAUAAAGGCCCCGGGAACGUAGCUCCUCUCGGGGAGUGUUAUAGCCCGGGGUGGAAUGCGGCCAGCCUGGACUGAGGAUCUCGCUUCGGCUAGGAUGCUGGCGUAAUGGCUGUAAGCGGCCCGUCUUGAAACACGGACCAAGGAGUCUAACAUCUAUGCGAGUGUUUGGGUGUCAAACCCAUGCGCGUAAUGAAAGUGAACGGAGGUGGGAACCCUCGCGGGUGCACCAUCGACCGAUCCUGAUGUCUUCGGAUGGAUUUGAGUAAGAGCAUAGCUGUUGGGACCCGAAAGAUGGUGAACUAUGCCUGAAUAGGGUGAAGCCAGAGGAAACUCUGGUGGAGGCUCGCAGCGGUUCUGACGUGCAAAUCGAUCGUCAAAUUUGGGUAUAGGGGCGAAAGACUAAUCGAACCAUC
rnacentral:rRNA from 1 species